AGCAAUCAUUAAACAAACCAAUAGGAUGACAAUUUCAUGCAAAAUUCAUGGCCAAAUUGAAUUUCACACAAUUUCACAAGUUUCACAAAACAGCACAUAAUAUUCGGAUAAAACCAGCACGCACAGUUUCCGAAGAAAUUCGAUUAAAAUAUCCAUAUGGUCUCCAAAAAUUACGAAAUUUUACAGAGUGAUAGCCAAGACAUUUUUGCACAACUUUCAUGAAGAACUCCAAGCCA
rnacentral:lncRNA from 1 species